UGCCGCCUCCUCCCCCAUCCAGCGAGACUGCAAGACCUCGAGACUGCGAGUGCGCACACAUGUUCCUCGCCUCCGCUGGACCCCAACACAGCUACCACUACUGCUACCUCCAUGAUUCUUCACCACAAUGGAGACCUCUCAGCUCCUUCUCCAGCACCAUGUCUGCCUGCAUGCCGCCAUGCUCCCCACCGUGAUGAUAAUGUGCUAACCUCUGCAAGUGUCCAUACUCCUGGCUCAAGGAUGACAUCAAGAUGGAGUUCAGGUCUCUCGUGUGUUCUUAGGAUCUGCCCAUUUCUUCAGGCUCUGAAUCAUUACCUGGGAUUGCAGGAACAAGCUCUCCAGAUCACACUCUCCUUCUCAGUGAUGAGCUGGAGGGAAAAGUCAUGCCAGCCACCCUCAUCAUGAUUUGCUCUCCAGCCAUUCACACUUACAGCCUUUGCCAACUGCACUGUGUUGUAACUUCUGACACUUACACAGUUUCUCACAUGAACAUAUGCUGUUUUUUCCCUUGGAGGAAAAGGAGCCGAACCUCACGCAUGUCAGCAGGCUGUUAUUAGUUAUAAUCUCCCAGCAGGAAAACUGACUAUAGUGAAAGAAGGGAGUAAGUAACCUCUCCUAGCUAACUCCUCCCCCUCCUCCUCCUCCUUCCUCCUCCUUCUCCUUUCCCUUCCUCUUCCUCUUCCCCCUCUCCUCUUCUUCUUCCUCUUCCUUCCCACUCCUCCUCCUCCUCCUAGUCUCUAUCAAAGUGCUAUCAAACAACUGCCCCAAACCUGUCAAACAUCCUCAAGAAAAUCAUCCUGAGAUUCUUAAGUGAAUACACCUGGUCCUUUGACCUGUCCACUAGUUGACAGGAACAUGCCAUUGAAAAAGAUGGCAUCAUACUAAAUGGAUUUUAUGUUUAUCGACUGCUUCUAGCAGUGCUCUAUUGAGCUGUGUGUGCUUUGUAAAGCUUUGCACCGUGAGACAUAAAACACAUCCUUUGGAGCUUAUUGAGUCCUGCACUUGGAAAACACUGGCAGGAGACUGGAGGUCAGGUGCUUGCUCCUGCUGCAGCACGGUCUCCAUGAGGAAAUAAUAUCUGAUGCCUAGGAAUAGAAUCCACACACAAAGACCACUUGCAUUUUCCAAAUGCUCCAAAAUGUCAUGUUACCAUUGUGUUUGAAGGAGGUUUUUUUGUUGUUGCUGUUCUCCUGUGUCUUGGGAUUGAAAUAAGAAACGAAAGAAAAAAGUCAUAAAAUAAAAUGAAGAAUCGCUUGGAACCUAGUAUUUUUAUUCUAUUGGUUUUUAAAACUGCCAGGAGAUGCAUAAGACAAGCUAGAAAGAGUUUUGUAAUGAGUCUAAGAUUUCUUAAAAUGUCAUAUAUACACUUAUUUAUCCCUUUAUGCCUGUGAGAUUAGGUCCAGGACUCAUUUAGACCCAAAAUCCAUGUGUUCAAAUCCCUUAUAUGAAAUGACAUAGUGUUUUCUUCUAACCUCUGCCUUUUGAAGCAUCUCUAGACGACAUAUAAUAUCCAUUGCAAUGUAAAUGCUGUGUGUAUAGUUGUGUUCCUUUGGGGCAUAAUGAUGAGAGAGUUUCUGCAUAUGCCUUGGACAGAUGUAAUUAUUUGGGGGGGGGGUUAUAAACAUUUUAAAAUUUGUGCUUGUAAAACCUACAGAUACAGUCAGUUCUGUUAUCUACAUAAUAUAGCAAAAGCAAGAGAAAUAGCAGAUUUUACUGUAGUCAGCAGUAGUACAAUAGAUGGCAUCUAACAUUUAGAACCUGAACUUGGUCGUAAGUCACCACAGUGCCAGCUAAGACCACUACUGUUGGUACUCAGUAGCAAACUCUGAGGAGAGGAGUCAA